rnacentral:rRNA from 1 species
UUUCGCAAUGCCCGAAAGGGUGACGAAGCGACGCCGCGUGGGUGAGGAAGGCCCUCGGGUUGUAAAGCCCUGUCAGGAGUUAAGAAAUGUAAGUGCGCUAAUAUCGCAUUUAUUUGACGAAGGCUCCAAAGGAAGUCACGGCUAACUCUGUGCCAGCAGCCGCGGUAAUACAGAGGUGGCAAGCGUUGUUCGGAAUUACUGGGCGUAAAGAGCACGUAGGUGGGUUUGCGAGUCAGAUGUGAAAGCCUCCUGUUCAACGGGAGAAUUGCGUCUGAAACUGCAGAUCUUGAGUGUAGGAGGGGAGAAUGGAACUUCUGGUGGAGCGGUGAAAUGCGUAGAUAUCGGAAGGAACGCCGGCGGCGAAAGCGAUUCUCUGGCCUAUUACUGACACUCAGUGUGCGAAAGCUAGGGGAGCAAACGGGAUUAGAUACCCCGGUAGUCCUAGCCGUAAACGAUGGGCACUAAGUAGAGGGGUUUUA